rnacentral:sRNA from 1 species
AUACUUUACUAAGACAUAUUUACAAAUGAUAGAUAGAGUGCAUCGAUAGACAGUUGUAGAUGAUAAGAAAUACUUCCAUUGGAGAUAACCCAACUUUGGGAUUAUGUGUGGGAGAUGAUUGAGUAUGUUGGUCAAGUUUGGAACUGGUAUCAAAUACUAGAUCACCAACAAAAAUUGAUGCCUCCAAUAAGAAGAUUAUUUAAAUAUCUAUCCAAAAAAUACUGUCCAAUAUUACAAGGACUGUAAAUCAUAAAGAUAAUUUAGUGUACAUGUAGACCUUCAUUUGUUCAUUAGAAUUUUUUUUCAGUUUGGGGAUCUUUCAAUGAUUGGGAUGCAGGAAGCCUCUCCAAAAUGUUCUGAUUGAGUUGAAGUAGAAAUGAAGAUGGUCAGAAAAACCAUAAGAAACACGACCUUCAAUAAGGAAAAAAUGUAAGAAAGUAUCCAAAAAAUCAUGUCCAACGUAACAAGGAGCAGACGAUUAAUAAAAUUUGGUACCCCAUUGUAGGUUUGUUGACUUGGAUGUUCCCACUUGUAUCGAAAAUAGGAUCUGACACAAUGUUCAUAACCU